CCUACGGGCGGCUGCAGUGGGGAAUAUUGCACAAUGGGGGAAACCCUGAUGCAGCCAUGCCGCGUGUGUGAAGAAGGCCUUCGGGUUGUAAAGCACUUUCAGUCAGGAGGAAGGGCAAUGAGUUAAUACCUCAUUGCAUUGACGUUACUGACAGAAGAAGCACCGGCUAACUCCGUGCCAGCAGCCGCGGUAAUACGGAGGGUGCGAGCGUUAAUCGGAAUUACUGGGCGUAAAGCGUGCGCAGGCGGUUUGUUAAGCGAGAUGUGAAAGCCCCGGGCUCAACCUGGGAUGGUCAUUUCGAACUGGCAAGCUAGAGUCUCGUAGAGGGGGGUAGAAUUCCAGGUGUAGCGGUGAAAUGCGUAGAGAUCUGGAGGAAUACCGGUGGCGAAGGCGGCCCCCUGGACGAAGACUGACGCUCAGGCACGAAAGCGUGGGGAGCAAACAGGAUUAGAUACCCCUGUAGUC
rnacentral:rRNA from 1 species